rnacentral:rRNA from 1 species
AACGCGAAGAACCUUACCUGGGCUCGAAAUGCAGGAGACCGGGGUAGAAAUAUCCUUUCCUCGCAAGAGGCUGCUGUAUAGGUGCUGCAUGGCUGUCGUCAGCUCGUGUCGUGAGAUGUUGGGUUAAGUCCCGCAACGAGCGCAACCCUCAUCCCUAGUUGCCACCGGGUAAUGCCGAGCACUCUAGUGAAACCGCCCCGGAUAACGGGGAGGAAGGUGGGGAUGACGUCAAGUCCUCAUGGCCUUUAUGUCCAGGGCUACACACGUGCUACAAUGGUCGGUACAAACCGUCGCAAAGCCGCAAGGUGGAGCUAAUCGGAUAAAGUCUGUCUCAGUUCGGAUAGCAGGCUGCAACUCGCCUGCUUGAAGUUGGAAUCGCUAGUAAUCGCGGAUCAGCACGCCGCGGUGAAUACGUUCCCGGGCCUUGUACACACCGCAUAC